rnacentral:lncRNA from 1 species
CGAAGUAAGUAACAAUUAUAACUCCAAAAAUUGAUGAAAUGUUUGCAUUAGACGUAGGAAGUUGGUUAAGGAAAGGGAAGUGUGAAAUUGAGAAAUAAAUCUACAAAACCCCACACAUACAUUGUUACUUGACAGGAAUGCUAGAUCAGUGGACGUACAAACUUCUUGAGGCGUUGAUGAAACCAAAUGCUAGAAGUGUAUUCUGAUAACUUUUGAG